UUAUUGUUCUAAUUUACCUAUUGAGGAUUAUUGAUUACUAAACUUUCUCAAGUAGAGAAAGUCCUAUAAGAAAGAAUAUUAGUUAUAUAUCUUCCUGAAGUUAUAAAGUUAAUUUUAGUUUAGUUGAUGCAAUCCUAGCUCCCCAAAGACUAAAGGUUUAAAUAGGAUGUCAUUUCUAUUUCUUUUUGGUUGUUUAUCCAAUCUUACCUUGGGAACCUCAUUAUAAUGAAGGUUUGGGUGGCUACAUAACGUGAACAAGCAAGGAUUUCUACUUCAUUAAGCGUAUCAGGUUAAGGUGUGAUGCAGAUGGAUGUCGGCAGAGCGAAGCUUUGAAACAUAAGUACUAAAUUAGGCUCAGGAUUUCAUGUCUUCAUACAUGUAAUCCACUUAAGUUACUCCGCUGCAACGCUUAGUGCGUUUUACUUUAUUGAUGUGUUGCAAAGAUUUCAAACUAAUAGCUUACAGAAAUAUGUCAAUUGAUACUUAGACAACUUGUCGUUAUGUAUUGUGAGUUGUCUGCUCUUGAGUUUUAGAAAAGAUUGUUUAUGAUUACCAAAUAUUUUGAUAAAGUAUUGUUUAAGCAGGUUAGUAAUUUUUAUUGAGAUCUAUUUUCUUUUUCA